GAUAGAGCUGACCCGCCCACAGAAGACACUGGGAUCAUAGGCGUGUACCACCGCACCCAGCUGUGUGUGGCCCCGUGGGCUGAGCACAGGACGUAGCGCAUGUUGGACAAGCCUUCUCCCAGCCUGGCUGCAGUCUCAGUCUCUAGGUUUAUCAUCACCGAUUGAACCUAUGCUUCAAAAGACUCAGUAAAUCAAGCUGGUGUUGUGUGCGAAGAGAAAGUACCACUUGAUCAAGCUGUCUAUAAAUACAGUGUGUCAUGACUCCAAGUAGAGAAGGAGAAGCCCGUGGAAGCCAAUCUGCAAUUUGGUGAACUCUCUUAGAAACGCAGUUCUUUCAGGUAGCCGAAGGAUUGAUCUAAUUACCCAAACAACAGAGACUUCUCUCUGGUUCCUGAAGGAAACUCAUUGGGUUAAAGGUGGUCGGUCAUUGGCCUCUCUGGUCUUUUGGGAACAAAAUUGUUUGGGA
ensembl:processed_transcript Gm16556 predicted gene 16556